AUGUAGCUCAUGAAAGCUUAUGCUCAGAUAAAUUUGUUAGUCUCUAAGGUGCCACAAGUCCUCCUUUUCUUUUUGCGGAUACAGACUAAGAUGGCUGCUACUCUGAAAUCUCUCUGAGCUUUCUCUUAGGGCCAUCACAAGCACCAGCAUUUCUGCUACUGUCUGCUUGGCUUUCUGGCUUCUCUUCCUCUCUGCCCCUUCUCUCGCACAUGCACAGACCAAAACAGUUCCACCAAUCAAAGUCCUAACUCCUAGGGCCACAUGAUUCAGUUUCUACUCAAGCUUUUCAAUGUGUCCGAGUUUUGGGUGCUACGGCUAUUGUUUCAACCACAUCUACACAUUUAUCUUGAAUGAAAGGCCAUGGUUUCACGCAUUCACAAGCAGACUUAGCUCAACCCACAACCAUGUCUUGAAAUUAAGCUGAAUUUGCUAAUAUUUGGAAAGGGCCUGGAGAUUUUCUUAACAACUUUAUUUCAUUGCGGAUGCUCAGAUUUUGGAACAGAUGCGCAUGUGGGGUUCAGGCUUUGUUUUCUCUCCCAAUUAGUUUUCAGGCAAAUAAUUAACAGUUUCCUAUUUGCAUGGCUGAUAUUGGUUUCUAGUGAAGCCAAUGAUUAUUUCUUGGUUCAAAGAAAUCUGUUUCCAAAGGAAAAAAAUCUAAUUAUUGCUAUUUUUUAUUGGUAUUACAGUAGUCUCUAGAUCAGGACCCCACUGUGCUAGAUGCUGCACAGAUACUUAAGAGACAGUCUCUGUCCCAAAUACCUUACAAUCUAAACAGACAAGAUUUAUAAAGGCUGGGAGAAAGGACUUAUUAUUAAUCAUAUUUACAGAUGGGAAACUGAGGCACAGAGAUUUGAGUGACUCGCCCGAGAUCACCCAGCUGUGAUUACUGUCACUACCACUGCAGUUUGGCUUACUGUGCAUACAGCUUGGUUAUGCUAAAAAAUCCUGUCUUUUAAUAUUUUAAAAUAAUAGUCCUUUCACAAAAUUGAAAUAAUACGUCCAACAGACAGUGGAACUAGCUCUAUGCCCUGUGUUUGCUAAAUGUUUCAGCAUCUAUGUGAAGAACCAAAAAAAAAAAGACAUUUUCACUGCACCUUUCAUCUGGAAGGGUCCCAAAGCACUUUAAAAGCUUUAUAGGUAAGAAUUAGAUCAUCCAUCAUUGGGGUGGAAUGUUGCAGCUGUUUAACAAUGCAUGGCAAAAACUUGACAGCAGUGAAGAAUACCAUUUAGACAGACAGAAUACAAUUACCCAUGACAACAGUAUAAAUUGAUUUAAUAUCUGAUAAAUUCCCUAGACAGUGAUGUGUUCUGCCUUGGUAGUGGGGAGGUGGACUUAAUGAUCUAAUACUGUUAAAUCUUUUCUUCCUUUAACUUCUAUGACCUUACACCAGGAUUUGGCCUGAGAAGUAGAACUAAUACCUCUGCUCUUGGGGAUUUUUAAUGAUUAACUGAUCAGGGCAUAUGUUUGGUAUUUAAUAUGAAAGACCGUGCUGUGACCUUAACACCUUGCUUGGGACAUGGAGUGUAGAUUCAGAGGGAAGAGCACCACUUACUGAAACAUCAAUACUUCUUCCUACCGCACUCUAGAUUUUUUCUGGAGGUGUCCCGUGCAAGUACUGAUCGAGCACCAUCCUCGUUAGCUUGUCGGAUCUGGCCAGCUCACAGGUCAGAGUAAAAUGGCUGCACAAUAUGUGUCAUUCAGGGAGGCCGAGCUAGCUUGGGAAAGCUGCUUCACACAUGGUAGAUAUGGCAUACCUACUUUGUAUGUCACAGGUCUCCAUGUGGGCUCUUGUAACAAGGGCCCACCUCUACCCCAGUCAUCUUUCCUGCAGAAACUGCUUUAUUUCAAUUCCCGUUCACCAGUAUCACCACAGUCCCCCAUGCUCCCACCUAUUUACAAUCUUUGCUGAACUUUAGGCCCUCUCAGCAUGACCUGUGGGGAAGAGAGAUUUUCCUACUCUGAGGGCUUGGUAUGGCUGGGCACAACUAGCUCUGUUCCUCCCUCUCUCCCCUUGCACAGCCUUCCUGUGCCUCUCUUAUCAGCUGUGGAGUGAUGGAGCCAGCUGAGUUCAUUACCCCCAUCAGCUUCUCCUGGGGCACUAAUUAGCCUCUAAGAGAUUGGCAUGCAGGCCUCACCUACUCUCUCCCUGUCAUAGUUCUAUACACAUCAUGGAAGUAGAGGCAAAGAUUUAAUUUCAUAACCCUUUUCACUGGUAGCCAUGUUGUAACCUGCUGCCUUUGGAUAGAAACUGACCUCUGUUAACAAUAAAAAAAUACCAAGUUCUAAUCAUUUCAAGGGUCAUAGUUAUUCCCAUGAGUUAGAGGACAUAUUCUCUAACGAAACUCCCAUAACACUGAGUUGAAUGACUCAUAGUUAUUCCCUGUCCUGUAUUUUUAAAGCUUCUUUGCAGCUGUCUAAUUUAAGCUUUUUAGUGCCUGUAGCUUUUUCAACAAAUCUCACUGCCAUCACUUUUAUAAUGGCUUUCUCAUUAUAGUGCUGUAUAGUGGUUACUUCUUGGGAUGGGAUUAUGUCAGGGAUGAAAUGUGUAUGGGGCCCUCCAAUUGUGGAAGUCUUGGAAAUUCAGAGUCUUUUAAAACAUAGAUGGGGUGAUAUUUCAGCCACGCAUUUCUUUUUAAACUGGAAACCAGAUCAUUGUA